CUACUAUGGUUGGAUGCAGUAUUCUAUGAAUUUCAAUAGAGCAAGUUGAUUAUAAUGCUGUUCAGGCAAAUCCCAGGAUCUGCAGUAUGAGUUCGAAAGCUGGAGACCCUGGAGAGUCAAAGGUUUAGUUCCAGUCUGAAGGCCAGGAAGCUCAAGACUCAGGAGGAGCUGCGGUUUCAGUUCAAGUCCAGAAGCAGGAAAAUUUCUCUUACUUGGGAGAAGAUUUGCCUUUUGUUCUACUCAGGCUUUCAAUUGAUUUGAUGAGACCCACCCACAUGAGGGAGGACAAUCUCCUUUCCUCAAUCUGCUGGUUUAAAUAUCAUCAGCUUAGGCAAAAAUUG
rnacentral:lncRNA from 10 species